UUUCUAAUGUCAUUUAUUGCUGGAUGAAAAAAAUCGCCAAGAGCAUUUUUUCAGAAGCACCUAAUGGUGACUCUUUCGGGAACUGGGUGGAUCCUUUUUCUGCAUGUCACCUGACCAAAGAACCAUAUAUUAUAUAGAUGUGAAGUUAUGGUUCUGCACUACUUACCUGGAUAAGCCCUCUGGAGAAACAGCAGGAAAAUACCUGUGGCUUGAAAAGUCAUUUAAAGACAUCAAACCUCUGGAUUAUCUUCAACCCCCCAAAGAACCAUGGCUUUGCAAAAACAGUGUAUUGCCCUGGAUGGAAACAGUCUCACUACAGAAGACCUGAUUAGCUUGGGAAAGGGGCUCCUCAGGAUAAAGUUGACCCCAGAGGCAGAGGAAGGAGUGAAGCGGGCUAGAGAAAUUGUUGAUAAUAUCAUUGCACAAGACAAAGG